rnacentral:rRNA from 1 species
UAAUACAGAGGGUGCGAGCGUUAAUCGGAAUUACUGGGCGUAAAGGGUGCGUAGGUGGUAGAUUAAGUUGGAUGUGAAAGCCCUGGGCUUAACCUAGGAAUUGCACUCAAUACUGGUUUACUAGAGUCGGGUAGAGGGAGGUGGAAUUUCCGGUGUAGCGGUGAAAUGCGUAGAUAUCGGAAGGAACACCAGUGGCGAAGGCGGCCUCCUGGAUCCAGACUGACACUGAGGCACGAAAGCGUGGGUAGCAAACAGGAUUAGAUACCCUGGUAGUCCACGCCUUAAACGAUGAGAACUGGAUGUUGGAGGGAUAAAACCCUUUAGUAUCGAAGCUAACGCGUUAAGUUCUCCGCCUGGGGAGUACGGCCGCAAGGUUA